UGGGGCUUGCUGGCUGCUCUGAGUAGAGAUGUAUGUAUUUGACCUGCUCGGGGUGUGUUAAGUGCCUUGCCACAAAGCCAUCGAUGUUCUUAGGAUCAGGCCGACAUUACUUUUUUCUUCUGUCUCCUUCCCAGUGCCUACUUGUUUGAAGGCAGCCUUACUGGUCCAGAGUUGCCUUUGGUAAGAUGUUUAAUGGCGUACUGCUCCUGCAGCAUACCCUACAGCAGAAAGUGGUUUGUUUUCUGGUUGUUGUUGUUUGCUUGUUUGGCAAGAAAGGCCCUCCCCCCCUCUCUUCCCCCUUGAUGGAUCUAUUGUUUUGUCCUGAUUUCUCCCUCUCUCUAGUGCCAAAGCAUCACGCGUUAAAUGUGAGGCAGCAUUCCUGCUGAAGCAAAACAUGAAUAAAAUGUGUUCAUGUUUUGUCUGACCUUUUGGGAAACACUCCCGUGUAUUAUAGUUGUACAGCCUUUUCCACUUAAUUCCUGUGCUUUGAUUGUUUUGUAAGUCCCUUAAAAUGACAAACUUAAAACAUGCCUGGCUGGAAUAGCAUCUUACACCAGGAAUAGGAAGGCAGUGGGACUAGUUACUAAGUCACUGGUCCUCCUGCCAGCAUCUCGCUUCUAACAUGUGUGCUCUAUUAGAGCCUGAAUUCUUCCUCGCUCUGAUGUUGUUUUCACCCUGCCAAAAUAAUAAUAAUAUUUAAAUUAAAAACAACAACAA